UACAGAGGGUGCAAACGUUGUUCGGAAUUACUGGGCGUAAAGCGCGUGUAGGCGGCCUAGUGUGUCGGGCGUGAAAUCCCACGGCUCAACCGUGGAAGUGCACUCGAAACUGCAAGGCUGGAGUACUGGAGAGGAUGGUAGAAUGCUCGGUGUAGAGGUGAAAUUCGUAGAUAUCGAGCGGAAUACCGGUGGCAAAGGCGGCCAUCUGGACAGUCACUGACGCUGAGACGCGAAAGCGUGGGGAGCAAACAGG
rnacentral:rRNA from 1 species